AUGAUUCGGUUCAGCCCCUGCAUCACUUGGUAUAGCAAUAACAGCCGUGCAAUAUGGUUUAAUACUUAUCUUUCAGUGACGGUGGACGCAAGGUUUUUCUUCCUCCAAACCAGCGUGGCUUCAGUUGGAAUAUCCCACGAUCUUUCAACAGAUUCCAUAAUGGGGUGGAUUUCCAUGUAUAGCUGUCUAUUUAAGAAACCAUUGAAUUAA